rnacentral:rRNA from 1 species
GAUGAACGCUGGCGGCGUGCCUAAUACAUGCAAGUCGAGCGAACAGAUGAGGAGCUUGCUCCUCUGACGUUAGCGGCGGACGGGUGAGUAACACGUGGAUAACCUACCUAUAAGACUGGGAUAACUUCGGGAAACCGGAGCUAAUACCGGAUAAUAUAUUGAACCGCAUGGUUCAAUAGUGAAAGACGGUUUUGCUGUCACUUAUAGAUGGAUCCGCGCCGCAUUAGCUAGUUGGUAAGGUAACGGCUUACCAAGGCAACGAUGCGUAGCCGACCUGAGAGGGGGGACGGCCACCCCGGAACUGAGAAACCGUCCCGGAUCCUACGGGAGGCAGCAGUAGGGAAUCUUCCGCAAAGGGCGGAAGCCUGACGGAGCCACGGCGGGUGGGUGAUGAAAGGCCUCGGAUCGGAAAACCCUGUUAUUAGGGAAGAACAAAUGUGUAAGUAACUAUGCACGUCUUGACGGUACCUAAUCAGAAAGCCACGGCUAACUACGU